rnacentral:rRNA from 1 species
AGCAGCCGCGGUAAUUCCAGCUCCAAUAGCGUAUAUUAAAGUUGUUGCAGUUAAAAAGCUCGUAGUUGAACUUCGGGGUCUACCCAUUGGUCAGGCUUAAUUGUCUGCACUGGUGAGAUGGAUCUCUGCCUUCUGAGGAACUUUCAUGCCAUUUAUUUGGUGUGGUUGGAAAUCAGGACUGUUACUUUGAAAAAUUAGAGUGUUUAAAGCGGACUAUCGUCUGAAUACAUUAGCAUGGAAUAAUGAAAUAGGACGGACUGAUUCUAUUUCGUUGGUUCUAGGAUCACCGUAAUGAUUAAUAGGGAUAGUUGGGGCAUUAGUAUUCAAUUGUCAGAGGUGAAAUUCUUGGAUUUAUUGAAGACUAACUACUGCGAAAGCAUUUGCCAAGGAUGUUUUCAUUAAUCAAGAACGAAAGUUAGGGGAUCGAAGCGAUCAGAUACCGUCGUAGUCUUAAACCNUAAACUAUGCCGAACUAGGGAUCGGAACGAAGUUAAUUUUANAAUGAACGCG